AUGAACCACAAGUUCCGCAAGCUCGGCUGCGGGGAGACCGUCAAGUUCACGGAGCUGCGGAGCCACGAGGAGGAGGCGUGCCCAUACGCGACCUACAGCUGCCCGUUCGACGGCUGCGCCUACCGCGGCGCGCUGCUCUACGACCACGUCCACGACGAGCACGCGCAGGCGCCGGCGCCGGUGCCCAACUGUGACAUGGUGGGCGGCCUGCUCCGGGGCGCGACGGUCACUCUGCGACGGGACGAGCCUGUCCACACGCUCCUUCACCGCGACAGGGUGAGCGUGAUCCUCCUGCUCAACGGCGGCGACGUCCUGACCGGGCGGUCGCUGUCGCUGGUCCGCAUCUGCCCGCAUCCCAAGCCCGACCAAGAAGACGAGGAAGUUGAGUACAGGAUGGUGGUGAUGCGCGGCGAGCCCGGGCCUGGGUCGCCCUCGCUGACGGCGUCGGGGAGAGUGCAGUACGUCCGCCGGCUGGAGGGGUGCCAGCCCCAACACUUCCUGUUCGUGCCGGACGCUUUCUGGGGCUCUUCCGGCAGCGUCGUCGUCACCGUGCAUCUCUGA
rnacentral:rRNA from 1 species